UCUACCCAGCACGCGGAAAAAAAAGAAGAACUCACGAAAGAAAAAAAAAAAACUCGUCCGCUGCACAUAUACCACUGAUAUUACCGGGAGAUCCCUUCCUUCAGGUCGACCCGCUGCACUUAUCUGUCCUUCUCUUUAUUGCGUCUCCUUUGAGGAACAACAUUUGCAGUGCCGGUAAUCCACGUUCAAACUCGUAAUUUGACCGAGGUUCGGAAGAGCCAUCGCAGAAUGAGUGAGAGACACACAGGUUAUCCGGAUCCAAGACAGGAAAGAAAAACCAGCCCGUUCUAGAAGUUGUCAACCAACGUAGUCAGAUCGGACUGUUUUGGAGAGAGAUGACCGGUGCGUAUUCCCGGUAACGCACCGCUUGGCCACAGCGUCGUCUCGGGUCUGUGCGACGCCAAGAAUCAGACUGCAGACUGCCUCUCUCUCUCUCUCUCUCUCUCUCUCUCUCUCUCUCCCCCUCUCUCUCACUCCCCCUCCACCGCGGCCCUCUCCCCCACCACUUCACAUUUAUGAGUUAAAGGACAUUAACCGACUUAUUGAGUCAUAAACUAAUAUGGUCCAUUAGAUGAAUAUCUCUCGGUGAUAAUUAAAACAAUAUGCUAAUAUACUAAUAAUAACAAUACAAUUCUAACCAGUAAUUCUACCAAUUCACUAAGGUAAAAUCGAGGGGUCCACAACGAGGCCAUUGUCUCCAUCCAUUAAGUCCAAUCAUGGGCCCGCCCGGUGGUUUAACAUGGAUGUCCACUUUCUGCUCACCAGACGUGAAAUUGAUGCUUAACAGGCUGGAACCCUGGACCGUAAAUUUGAAUGUCAUUUCCACUUCUCCAUAUGAGGGUGUAAUUAGUUUUUCGCAAUGCGCCGUCCGUGGAAACAAUCGCGAUAAUGAAAUGCGCGUCGGCCUUCGACCCUGUUUUUAAGAUGGGGGGGGGUCAUAAAAAGUGUUACCGCAGCAUUCAAUUAAAUUGUGCCAACCCUGGUGUGCGCCUGCAGCUCAUGGUCAGGUUGUUUAGCAUUCUGUAGACUAAUAUGACACCUAUUAUCAGUCUGUUAAUGCCGCUGGUCUAUUUAUGCUCACGCACACGCAUUCUGCUGCGCGUGAGUUUGUUCUCCGAUAGCCAAUGCUGCGUAAUUGGUUUGUCCAGUUUAUUGUCAAAUUGAAAGAUUAUCCAAUUUGAAAAAUUAAAGAUAAUUCGGGAAGGUCCAAAGCCGCAAAAAGAAAAUGGUCGCCUUCUCGAUAAACCAAUAAACUGGUUUGAAGGGCUAAAUUGAAUAAAUAAUCAAAUCACAUGACAAAUUAAUUAUAGGGGCGAAUGUUACAGGCCAUAUCCAUUAAUGGAAGUUGUUCAGUGAAACCCAGAACGUGUUAUUUAAAUACAAGUGUAUUGACCAUUUUGAAUGACUUUAUAGCAUGAAACGUUUACCAGCUUUGCCAAAUGCAUUUGUGAACAAAUAGUGUCGAGGUAUUAGCAAGUUGGGCUUUUUUGAAUUGUGUUCACUAUUUUUUGCCUUCCAUACAUUGAUCACCAAGACAAACGAGUUUAAAAAAAAACGCAACUUUUACUUUGAAGGGGAAACCUUGCGUUUUCCGGCUCUGCACUUCCCCGACUCUUCUUAGCGUGAAUUUAAGUAACAAUCCGAAGGUUUUUUGCAUUGCACGUGUUCUUACAAUAGAACACAAGUCAGUGCCUCUAAACUGACAUUCUAGAGUCCUUUCGGUGUGCCAUGGCAACCCGCCAAAUAAUGUUUCCUUACAAAAAGCUGGUUAGAAAUAAACCAUCGGCCGGCCGUAAAGAAAAGCUUGUGCGUGUGGACAACAACACGGAGACAACAUGAUGCCGUGGGGAAGGUCUCGCAUCGCGACAGCCACUCCAAAACACUUGGUGGGUGCGUUCGCGCCGUUUCCGCGCUCCACGUGGAUCCACGCUGACGUCCCGCGGGACAACUACGACCGCAUCUGCGAAAAAAUCUGGAGAGCAGCAAACGAGGCCGAGGAGGAGUUUGGCAGAGGAGCAAGUCCACCAGAGAGGCAGAGGGAUGAAGAGGGCAGGAGAGUAGACGACACACCAACUCAUCGGGCCAAGGAGCAGCAGAAGGAGGCAGAUGACUUUGGUCUGAGCACACGCUACGAGGAGGACGCGCAGCGGCACCACACAGCCUUCGCACUUCCUUGCCCCCGUCUCUCGGGCCACAGACCUCCCCCUGUGGCCGAGCCUGCACGGGAACUGAAGCCUGUGAUGGAAAAAGAGAUGAAACGAGCCAGGGAGGCGAGAGGGAACGCGGGUUUGUCACGUCGGGAGGAAGAAGCGGGAGACGGACAAACUAGCGUGUCAAAUGACGUUAAGGGGAUCAUUGUCCCGGAAUCCACCGGCAGAGAAAACAGCUCUGAACCUCAACCUCAACCUCCGGCGCCGGAUCCAGUCUGCUCUGCCACUGCGGACCGAACCCUGCGCCUGGAGGAUGAUGAAGAUCCUCAGCAUGCUGCAUGCGAAAGCAGAGAUGGCGAGAAUACAACUAGCAGUUGCGACAGUGAUUCCAGCGAUGAUGAUGAUGAUGAUGAUUUUGUAAGCCUACCUGGGGCGAGAAGUUAUGCCACAGAUAACAGUCGUGGUGAAUCAGAGAGUGAAAACGACAGUGACGGAGAGAUAAGUGAGAUGUUGCGCUCACUUGAAGGAGCAUGUUCCAACAGCGAGCAGGAUUCCCUGUGUUCUUUCACAGCGGAAGACUUUCCACUCCUAUCUGCCACAAAGGCUGGCAACCCACCACGUCCCACGGAGCCCCCAGCCUGGGGGAAGAUGAAGAGCCACUGGGAGAUUCCCCUUUCAGCCUGGCCAUGCGACUUCCCCGCUGCCACUUUGGCAAGCUGCGUGACCGGCCGUGCCCAUGCUCCGGUCCGAGGCAAAGCCGGAGCACCUGAGGCGAGCUCGCUGAGCAACGCACCAGCAGCCCCAGAGGAGCAGCCUUACAACCUGCUGGCUGACUUCCCAGCCCUGCAGCCCUCAAAGAAACCUUUAGCACUGGGUGUGUGGCGUGAUGGGAAUCCAGAGACCAAGGUUGCGGAGGGGAACAGAGGGCACGCUCGCACAAAAAUCCAAUGCCAAGGAAGAGGGGGUUCCUGUCGGAGGAAAAUUCAAAUUGUUCCCCUCGAGGUCCCCUCCGUCUGCACACGAGAUCAAAAAUCCGUAGGCAAUUCUCCCACCGUCAGCGGCGAGGAACUGAAGGCCAGCAACCAGCCGACUCCUAGAGGUACAGAUGGCGUGGACACCAAUGCCAGGUCCUGGGCCAGCGUUGCCAAGAUGGGCCUGGAGUAAGCAGCUGCCCCCCCGGAAGAAAGCCAGACCUUGUACCCUUCAGCAGAUAGUUACCGUUAACAUAGCCAAAGUUUUCAAAUGCCAUUUGCUCCCCGCCGCCCGUUUGUGCACCACCAGUGAGCAUUGAGGACUGAGGCGGGCGACGGCGGGCUUGAUAACCGGAACUCCUCGCCGAGCGGUCGGGGUGACUAUGAGCGGCUAACUGUCGCGACCCACUCUGUGUCGGACACAAGGCGGGGGGAGAGGUAGGGGCCACUGGUGAUAACGCAGCUGAGUGCACCUCUGAUCCCGAGGCGUCGCCCUGCGCCCGGACACAGUGGGGCGUCAACAGUCUGCACACAUUGUGUACGGCUAACAGCUAACCGAACCACCACUACACACACACACACACACACACACAGCUGACCACCUGUUGUCGUCCGCUGCCCCGCCGCCCCCUCUCUCUGAGUUUCAAGAACGCAUUUUUAACCAGCGGAACAAAUGUCUGACACGUUUCGUCGACCUCGUUGUGUCAAUUAAGCUGUAAACUAAUCUCCAUAAUAAAAUGUGUACUUUCGUAGCGAGCGCCUGACAAAUUGUGUUCCGUCUUGGCAAUAUCCAUUUCAUUAAGGUGAUACUGGUAUUUGAAUACAAACAAGGCUGCAGUUGUCUCACAACUCGGGUUGCCAGCGUGGCAGGUGUUCAAAUUGACGACGUCGGGCCAGCUGGAGCCGAUAUGAGUACCAACAAAAAACGGCGCGACUGGAGCAGUUUCACAAACUCUGCACGAGUCUGAACCGUUCCCUUUCUGGCGAUAUGCAAUAAAGAGGGUUAAGGGCGUUGGCACAUUUGUAUUAUUCUAAAAUAAAACCUAAUAUUACUCCUGCGGGAAUCACAGAACACGGAACCUGGAGGGAUGCUCCUUAUUAAAGGUGAUACUCAGAGCAUAUCCACAUAGAUUGAGGGAUUUCCUUCACACGCUAUGACGCUUUCAGCACUUUUUAUGUCAGAUUGCGACAGUGAUGCCGUUGGUUUUUCAAAAUGAACUUCAAACAUCUACUUAGUUGAGUAUUCUCUCGAGCGGGCUUGGAUGGACAGGAUACUACUACUACUACUACUAGAAUGCUACCCAAGUUCAUUAGGUCAAUCCAUUCCAAAUGCGGUGACUUCGGGUCAUUGUUUGCAACAAAUUCAGGACUUUGUUUCAAAAGAACGCUGUUAAAACUGAAAGUAUUCGAUCUCGUCGGUUUUUAGGUGUGUUUCUAGGUCGAGGAAAAGAAAGGCCUUGACGUCCACAAACUAUAUAAGCAAAGCACAGCAACACUCAAAUUAGAGGGAAUUAGAUUAGUAUGUUCUGCUUUAAAUGCUCAUAAUUUUAAAUGUUGCACAUUUAAGCCCAAGCCCGCCGAUAUUGUCCACCAAGCGUUUGUUUGAUGAAAUGCACCUUAUGUAUUUCUGUAAUUCAAGCACCUUGUUGACUUUUGAUAUCACAGCAGUUCUCUCUCUCUCUCUCUCUCUCUCUCUCUCUCUCUCUCUCUCAAGAGUGCUUUGCAUUCGGACGCCUAAUGAGCUAAUAUGCUAAUAAGCACGCAUGCAAGCUCUCAGCUAAUUUUCACUUUUGUUUCUGAUUACAUAUUGCGUAAUAAUCACUUAAAUUAUGCGUAAUGUAUGUUAAAUAUCAAGUCCUGCAUUAAACGCAAUCUAUUUUCAUCAAUUGAUCACAGCUAAUGCCAUUGUUCAUUGGUGUGGUUGAGUUGCGGCAAAUUGACUGAUUUGAUCGACAGAGACGCUGCGCUGGAGAAUCACAGCGACCACCAGACCACUUAGAAUUACACCGGCAAGCCGCUCAAAUCUUCUUCAGCUGAACAAAUUGCUUCGGACACUGACACAAGAACAAAUUAUUUCUCAAGGUCCAGAAAAAUAUUAAAACAGCUUUGAAGAAAUCUUAAUGAGUGCAAACUCUCAAUAGAGCAAGGACGCCCUUUAUGUUUUUGAAUAUCCAUGUAAAAUAUGAGGAAGAGUCACAGCUCUGCUUGACCAAAUGUUUCUAAGACGACGCACUGAGAAAACUGAGAUUCCGAAACGACAAAGAAGACAUGAAUACAACAGAAGAGAAAAGAAAGCAGUGUGCAGAAAUAUCUCACCAGGUCUUGUGUUUGUGUUAAAACUAAGUGAAAUACUAUAGAUUACCUAAUGAGGGCCUUAAAAAGCUUGGCACGUCCAGCACCAUCUCCGCUCCAUGCGCACGUGCUUGCUGAAGGCUUUUUGUGUAUGCAACCAUGCAACCAUAUGAAGGAAAAGUCAGCAUUACGGUGUCUCUGCCGGCCUCUCCCUAUCUUUCCUCAGUGGCAUUUGGGUAUUUGCUUUGCCGGUCCUGAGGUCUCACAAGCCUUGGAGACGUGAGAGAACCUUUGUACAUCAUAGCCUUCAGCGUCCUACCUUGCCGAGCAAGAGAAGGUAUAGGGAAGGACGGUGGGAGGGAGAAAGGGAGGACAGGGGGGGGAGACGAGGAAAGCGCAGAACAAGGGAGCAUAAAAAGCAUUCAAUUAAGACAUGAACUGGAGGGUUCAUUAAGCAUGAGCAAGCCGAUGAAAAUGACCAUCCAUCAAGAGAGAGUGCUGUGGCAGCGCUGAGAAGAGCGUGCAGGCAUCCGCCCAUUGGACAUACUCAAUUACUAUGGUGAGGAGAGAAAAAAUGCUCAUACUUGCCUGUUUGAAGAAGAAUGAAAACUAAUAGCACGCAGUAUAUAACUGGUGUAAACUGGAGUGAGUCAUAUAUUGAUUAUUCUAUAGACUUUGUGGCUUUCCUCCACUUAGUCUCACGUUGUGCCAUAAAAAAAGGGGUUUUAAGAGGGAGCAUUAAUUUUCCUGCUAAAAUCCAUUUUUUUCUUCAACUAAUUAAAAUGGUCCUACCAUUUGCUAUUUUACUGUACUACUUGUUGUCUACUUCAGCAGCAUCAUUGAGUGCUCCUGUGAGAUAAAGGGCUGAAUUUAAAUUUGCUUUGCUUCUACACAAAUGUCCAAAAUAAUCAGGGCGACUGCUCUUUCAAACAAGCCGUUACAUCAAGUUUUUAUAAAAAGAUACGCAUGUCCAAUGACCCUACGCACAUUGUGAAAUGAAGAUCGUUAAAAAACAUUUCCAAAUAAAUUAUAUCCUGUCAGAUUAGCAAUGACUUUUCAGGAGUUGUAGUUGUGAAGGUGUUAUAUGGAGAGAAAUCAAUGUGCGGCAAUAGGCCUUUUGAGACUCAUCCCCAAAAUCCCGUCCCACCCAUUUCCCCAGCACCAAAAGGCUCACACGUACACAUCUGAGGGACUGCGGUGCCUCAGUGUGGCCUUGCCCUCAAAAAACUCAAAGCUCUCACCCUUUUUAGCGGGUUCAGCUGUCACCGAAUGUGCUCUUAUUCCAACAACACACACCAGAUUCUUUCUUUUGAAAGUCUUUGUGCAAAGGGAUACAGCUCCUGGAUUUCUUUGUUUGUGGUUCGAUUGGGAAUGUGUGCUUUGGCCCUUUUUAAAUGAUCUUCCUUGAGAGCUUGGGAACCUGUAAAGCCCAAUGGUCACAGCAUCUGUUUGAGGCCAAAAUGGAUCUGUAUUCUGCACUUGGUGUGUCCUUGUACUAUGUGCAUGUGGAAAUAUGUGUCCCUGUGAAGAAAACGCCUGUUUGUAAAAACUCAUCCAUCGAGUGCUCUGAAAAUAAUUAAAAUACAUAUUUUGUAAGUGUCUUGAUUUUUUCUUCAUCCUGUCUGAAUCAAUCAUGCGGCUUUCAUCCAGACUAAAAAACCUGCACUCAUACUUAAUGGACACUGCAUUGAAAAGGACAAACACUCUAAACAUAAACUGCCUGAGUGUAGGUGAGAAAGUCAUUUUUGGAUGACGAUGGUGGACUAUGGAGCCCAAAGCUGCAUCAAGAGAUGCUAAAACAUUAGUUUCGGCACUUCUCACUGGAUCUAUUGAUAGUAAAACUUGGGAAAAUUAUCCCAAAAAUUAUUUUUUUUAAUAAUGUGACUAGAAUGGAGCCCAGCCAAGCGACAGUUUCAAGGGACACUUGUCAAAAGUAUUGCCCACUCGGCACCAUUUGCUCCUUUGAGCUUUCGAUUUAUUGGUCCAGUUAUUGAGUUGUUCCAGCCGUAUGAACUAGCUGUACACCGACUAAACUACACUGCAUGUUAUCGACUGGCCAACUUACUCAUAUAAAGUCACUUUGAUGCUUGCAUCUUCAUCCCUGGUCAAACACAGCUAUUUAUAUUAUGUUUCACUUUAUGUAUCACAAAAGGUUUAGGCAAUGCUUUCCACACAAUAAACAAUUAGCCCAUUAUUCUAGGAAUCAUGAACAUAAUUCAACAUGAUUCAUGUACAUCACAACAUUAAGUGCUUUUGCAGGACCUACAGUAGUUUGACCUAGAUCACAUUAAAUAUUUAAAGCCAAGGCAACAUGUUUGUGGUAGCGUUCCAUAGAUAACCAUGUUAAGCCCGGCCAAUA
ensembl:lncRNA